rnacentral:rRNA from 1 species
UACGUAGGGGGCGAGCGUUACCCGGAUUUACUGGGCGUAAAGGGGGCGUAGGCGGCCGUGAAAGUCCGGUGUGAAAACUCACGGCUCAACCGUGGGACUGCGCUGGAAACUACACGGCUUGAGGACGGUAGAGGGAGACGGAACUGCUGGUGUAGGGGUGAAAUGCGUAGAUAUCGGGAGGAACACCAGUAGCGAAGGCGGCUAUCUGGUUGACUUCUGACGCUGAGGCACGAAAGCUAGGGGAGCAAACAGG